CAGCACCUCAAGUGGUCAGGAUGAUUAUUGGGCCUAAAGCAUCCGUAGCCGGCUCUGUAAGUUUUCGGUUAAAUCUGUACGCUCAACGUACAGGCUGCCGGGAAUACUGCAGCGCUAGGGAGUGGGAGAGGUAGACGGUACUCGGUAGGAAGGGGUAAAAUCCUUUGAUCUAUUGAUGACCACCUGUGGCGAAGGCGGUCUACCAGAACACGUCCGGCGGUGAGGGAUGAAAGCUGGGGGAGCAAACCGGAUUAGAGACCCGUGUAGUCC
rnacentral:rRNA from 1 species